CCUACGGGAGGCUGCAGUAGGGAAUAUUGCUCAAUGGGGGAAACUCUGAUGCAGCAACGCCGCGUGGAGGAUGAAGGUUUUCGGAUUGUAAACUCCUUUUGUUAGAGAAGAUAAUGACGGUAUCUAACGAAUAAGCACCGGCUAACUCCGUGCCAGCAGCCGCGGUAAUACGGAGGGUGCAAGCGUUACUCGGAAUCACUGGGCGUAAAGAGCGCGUAGGCGGGACAGCAAGUCAGAUGUGAAAUCCUAUGGCUUAACCAUAGAGCUGCGUUUGAAACUGUUAUUCUAGAGUAUGGGAGAGGUAGGUGGAAUUCUUGGUGUAGGGGUAAAAUCCGUAGAGAUCAGGAGGAAUACUCGUGGCGAAGGCGACCUGCUGGGACAUAACUGACGCUGAUGCGCGAAAGCGUGGGGAGCAAACAGGAUUAGAUACCCGAGUAGUC
rnacentral:rRNA from 1 species